AGAGUGGGCAGGAAGUACGGGGUCAAAGGCCGCCAGCCCGGCAGCCGAUCUGACGGUCCAGCUCAGAAACAAAAGGUGGAGGAGGUCAAAACACUGAGCAGCCGCUGCUCUUUGAAGUCUGAGUGACACGACGCAGCUCCACCUCCCCACUGAGGAGACACCAAGUGAAACAAGCUGCAGGAGCCAAAACCGGACAUGACGGAGCAGAUUGAAGGCGGGGCUUAAGGAAAAUGAAAGGGCCCAAUGGAUGUGGAAGUUCUGUGUAUUCUUGUUCUCGAGAUUCAGACCAUUUUUGUUUAAUGCGCCACUGAGCAACUAUCAUAGGAGUGAACUGGGCCGCAACGCUGUAUCCAGAUAUUCUUAUACAUCCAUUCAUUUUACACAUUGAGGCUUACGUAACACACUCAUACAAGGCUUUGAAAGUGUGAGUUACUCAUCCACACACACAGAUGACCCAGUGAGGUGCUAGUAGACGUUACAGGGUUAAAGGUCAGCUGCUGUAUUAUCACCAGCCUUUUUUCCGUCAGGUCUGCAGCAUGUAACCCCCAAUUUACAAAGUUAAAUAUGCAUUGAACAAAACUUUUAUGUAAAUAAUUAGAUCAAAUGACUCUAUGUUAUGUGCAAGUGAUGAACCACACAGAAACGUUUUCUCAAAACAUACAAGAUAAUUUUUUUAAGAUUGAAUUUCCUAUUUGAUGUCCACUAGAGGGAUUGUGGUUCCUACCUGCACUUGUUUUGCAAGGACAGGUGUGAGUGUAAUAAACUCUGUUGGUACUUUUCAC